CGGUAAUUCCAGCUCCCAUAUCGUUCCCCUAGUUGUUGCGGUUAAAAAGCUCGUAGUCGGAUUUCUGGGGGGGUGCGCCGGGCCACGCUAUGCAUGAGUACUGGCACGCGUGCCCUUCCUGGAACGCAACGACGCGCCUUUACUGGGGCGGUCCGGGCAUGCCUCAAUUUCUGUGAUCAAAUUAAAGUGGUCUUCGCAGGCAAUUGUUGUUAAUACAUUAGCAUGAAAUAAUGCAAUAUGACUUUGGUUCUAUUUUGUUGGCUUCCCGGACCAGAAGUAAUGAUUAAUAUAGAUGGUUGGGGGCAUUCGCAUUUCGCUGUCAGAGGUGAAAUUCUUGGAUUUCCUAAAGACGAACACCUGUGAAAUCGUCUGCCCAGGACGUGUUCAUUGAUCAAGAACGAAAGUUAGGGUAUAGAAGACCAUCAGACCCCGUUGUUGUCUUACCCAUAAAAUACGCCAUCUCGGGAUCGGUGGAUGUCGUUGAGACUCCACCGGCACCGUAUGAGAAAUCAAAGUUUUUGGGUUCCGGGGGGAGUAUGGUCGCAAGGCUGAAACUUAAAGGAAUUGACGGAAGGGCACCACCAGGAGUGGAGCCUGCGGCUUAAUUUGACUCAACACGGGGAAACUUACCAGGUCCGGACAUAGUGAGGAUUGACAGAUUGAGAGCUCUUUCUUGAUUCUAUGUGUGGUGGUGCAUGGCCGUUCUUAGUUGGUGGCUUGAGUUGUCCGGUUAAUUACGUUAACGAACGAGACCUCAGCCUACUAAAUAGUCACGGUUCGCCUUUCGAGCCGGCUGACUUUUUAGAGAGACUAUCGGCGUAUAGUCGAUGGAAGUAGGAGGCAAUAACAGGUCUGUGAUGCCCUUAGAUGUUCUGGGCCGCACGCGCGCUACCCUGUCCGUGUCAACAAGCGAUAACCUUGGCCGGAAGGCCUGGGUAAUCUUUUGAAACGCGGUUGUGAUGGGGACAGAUCAAUGAAACCUGGAUGUUCAACGAGGAAUUCCUAGUAAGACGUGGGUCAUCAUACUCAGCGUCGAAUACGUCCCUCCCCCUUGUACACACCGCCCGUCUCUCCUACAGAAUGAACGGUCCGGUGAAGACUCUGGACCACGGGGCCUCGGCCGGGCAACUGGCCGCAGUUCAGCGGGAACUUGUUUAAACCUUAUCAUUUAGAGGAAGGAGAAGUCGUAACAAGGUAACC
rnacentral:rRNA from 1 species